rnacentral:rRNA from 1 species
UACGGAGGGUGCAAGCGUUAUCCGGAUUUAUUGGGUUUAAAGGGUGCGUAGGCGGUGAUAUAAGUCAGCGGUGAAAGUUUUCAGCUCAACUGGAAAAAUGCCGUUGAUACUGUAUCGCUGGAAUAUGGUUGCUGUGAGUGGAAUGUGUAGUGUAGCGGUGAAAUGCUUAGAGAUUACACAGAAUAUCGAUUGCGAAGGCAGCUCACAAAGCCAUUAUUGACGCUGAGGCACGAAAGUGUGGGGAUCAAACAGG